rnacentral:rRNA from 1 species
UACGUAGGGUGCGAGCGUUGUCCGGAAUUAUUGGGCGUAAAGAGCUUGUAGGCGGUCUGUCGCGUCUGCUGUGAAAAUCCGGGGCUCAACCCCGGACUUGCAGUGGGUACGGGCAGACUAGAGUGUGGUAGGGGAGACUGGAAUUCCUGGUGUAGCGGUGAAAUGCGCAGAUAUCAGGAGGAACACCGAUGGCGAAGGCGGUUCUCUGGGCAUGUCCUGACGCUGAGGAGCGAAAGUGUGGGGAGCGAACAGG